rnacentral:rRNA from 1 species
GACAGAGGGGGCAAGCGUUGCUCGGAAUUACUGGGCGUAAAGGGCGCGUAGGCGGGAUGGCAAGUCGGUCGUGAAAUCCCUCGGCUCAACUGAGGAUCGUCGAUCGAUACUGCCGUUCUUGAGGAUUGCAGAGGAGACUGGAAUUCCCGGUGUAGCGGUGAAAUGUGUAGAGAUCGGGAGGAACACCGGUGGCGAAGGCGGUUCUCUGGGCCUGACCUGACGCUGAGGAGCGAAAGCGUGGGGAGCGAACAGG